rnacentral:rRNA from 1 species
GAGUUUGAUCCUGGCUCAGGACGAACGCUGGCGGCGCGCCUAACACAUGCAAGUCGAACGGAGCUGAGAAGAGCUUGCUUUUCUUAGCUUAGUGGCGAACGGGUGAGUAACGCGUGAGUAACCUGCCCUGGGGUGGGGGACAACAGUUGGAAACGACUGCUAAUACCGCAUAAGCCCACGGUGUCGCAUGGCACUGCGGGAAAAGGAUUUAUUCGCUCUAGGAUGGACUCGCGUCCAAUUAGCUAGUUGGUGAGGUAACGGCCCACCAAGGCGACGAUUGGUAGCCGGACUGAGAGGUUGAACGGCCACGUUGGGACUGAGACACGGCCCAGACUCCUACGGGAGGCAGCAGUGGGGGAUAUUGCACAAUGGGGGAAACCCUGAUGCAGCGACGCCGCGUGGAGGAAGAAGGUUUUCGGAUUGUAAACUCCUGUCGUUAGGGACGAUAAUGACGGUACCUAACAAGAAAGCACCGGCUAACUACGUGCCAGCAGCCGCGGUAAAACGUAGGGUGCAAGCGUUGUCCGGAAUUACUGGGUGUAAAGGGAGCGCAGGCGGACCGGCAAGUUGGAAGUGAAAUCCAUGGGCUCAACCCGUGAAUUGCUUUCAAAACUGCUGGCCUUGAGUAGUGCAGAGGUAGGUGGAAUUCCCGGUGUAGCGGUGGAAUGCGUAGAUAUCGGGAGGAACACCAGUGGCGAAGGCGACCUACUGGGCACCAACUGACGCUGAGGCUCGAAAGCAUGGGUAGCAAACAGGAUUAGAUACCCUGGUAGUCCAUGCCGUAAACGAUGAUUACUAGGUGUUGGAGGAUUGACCCCUUCAGUGCCGCAGUUAACACAAUAAGUAAUCCACCUGGGGAGUACGACCGCAAGGUUGAAACUCAAAGGAAUUGACGGAAGGGCGA